UGACGGCGUGCCUUUUGCAUAAUGAACCUACGAGUUGCCGUGUCCGGCGAGGUUAAGCGGCAUGAUCCGCGCAGCCGGAGCGAAAGCGAGUCUGAAGAGGGCGCGCAGUCGGAUGCGGCAGACGCGAAACCGAGGGAUCUACCCUUGUCCAGGAUGAAGUCCGGGUAACACCGGAUGGAGGUCCGCACCAAUAAGCGUUGAAAAGCUUCUGGAUGAGGUGAGGGUAGGAGGGAAAGGCCAAUCAAACUCGGAGAUAGCUCGUACUCCCCGAAAUGCAUUUAGGUGCAGCCUCGUCGUAUGAUCCGGCAUGAGGUAGAGCGACUGAUAGGAUGCGAGGGCUUCACCGCCUGUCAAGUCCUGACAAACUCCGAAUGCUUGCCGGAAUUAGGCGGGAGUGAGGGCGCGGGUGCUAAGGUCCGCGCCCGAGAGGAGAAGAAUCCUGACCGCCGUCUAAGGCCCCGAAAUGGCGCCUGAGUUAUUCUAACGAGGUCGGUUCCCCGAGACAGCUAGGAUGUUGGCUUGGAAGCAGCCAUUCAUUUAAAGAGUGCGUAACAGCUCACUAGUCGAGGUAGCCGGCAUGGAUAAUAAUCGGGUAUAAGGCGCCUGCCGAAGACGCGGGAUACGAACAGUAUCGGUAGGGGAGCAUUCCAUUUGGCGCCGAAGGCGGCCCGUGAGGUCCGCUGGAGCAUAUGGAAAAGCAAAUGUAGGUAUAAGUAACGAUAAAGGGGGCGUGAAACCCCCUCGCCGAAAGACCAAGGUUUCCUGAUCAACGCUAAUCGGAUCAGGGUAAGUCGGGCCCUAAGGCUCAGCCGCCAGGCGAGGCCGAUGGCAGAACCGGUUAAUAUUCCGGUACUGCCGCCCGGUGUGACGCGGUGACGCGGAUGUGACACUGCCGCCGGCUGACGGAACAGCCGGUUGAAGGGUGUAGGAGCAGACUGCCGCCGGCAAAUCCACGGCAGGAUCCGAACCUGAAAGUAUGCCGCGCCCUUUCAGGGCAAGGCAACAGCGCAGGUAACCAUGCCGCCAAGAAAACCCGCUAAACAUCAGCCGGGUGGCACCCGUACCGUAAACGGACACACGUGGUCGGGUUGAAUAUACUGAGGCGCUUGGGUGAAUCACGGUUAAGGAACUAGGCAAACUGACCCUGUAACUUCGGGAUAAAGGGUCCCUCCUCGCAAGAGAGGGCGCAGCGAACCGGUCCAGGCAACUGUUUACCAAAAACACAGGGCUGUGCCAAUACGAAAGUAGACGUAUACAGCCUGACACCUGCCCGGUGCCGGAAGGUUAAGAGGAGAUGUCACCGCAAGGGAAGCAUUGAAUUGAAGCCCCGGUAAACGGCGGCCGUAACUAUAACGGUCCUAAGGGAGCGAAAUUCCUUGUCGGGUAAGUUCCGACCUGCACGAAUGGUGUAAUGAUCUGGACGCUGUCUCAACCGUGAGCCCAGUGAAAUUGUAGUAUCGGUGAAGAUGCCGAUUACCCGCGAUGGGACGAAAAGACCCCGUGAACCUUUACUGCAUCUUAGCAUUGGAUCCGGGCACGCGAUGUGUAGGAUAGGCCGGAGGCUAUGAAUCCGGGACGCCAGUCCCGGUGGAGCCGCCGUUGAAAUACGGCCCUUCGUUUGUCUGGAUUCUAACCCGCAGUGCGGGGACAUUGCUUGGCGGGCAGUUUGACUGGGGUGGUCGCCUCCAAAAGCGUAACGGAGGC
rnacentral:rRNA from 1 species